rnacentral:rRNA from 1 species
GACGAACGCUGGCGGCGUGCUUAACACAUGCAAGUCGAACGAGUGUCGAACGGGUGAGUAAUACGUGGGUAACCUGCCCUCUUUAUGGGAUAAGCUUUGGUAACGGGGUCUAAUAACGACUAAAGGGGGAUGGGCUCGCUGCCUAUCAGCGUGGUGGUGGGGUGCUGGCCUACAAAGGCGGUGACGGGUAGCGGGCCUGAGAGGGUGACCUGCCACAUUGGGACGGAGAGACGGCCCAGACUCCUACGGGAGGCAGCAGUGGGGAAUAUUGCACAAUGGGCGCAAGCCUGAUGCAGCCAUGCCGCGGGUAUGAAGAAGGCCUUCGGGUUGUAAAGUACUUUCAGCGAGGAGGCGUUACUCGCAGAAGAAGCACCGGCUAACUCCGUGCCAGCAGCCGCGGUAAUUC